rnacentral:rRNA from 1 species
AGUGAACGCUGGCGGUAGGCCUAACACAUGCAAGUCGAACGGCAGCACAGUAAGAGCUUGCUCUUACGGGUGGCGAGUGGCGGACGGGUGAGGAAUACAUCGGAAUCUACUUUUUCGUGGGGGAUAACGUAGGGAAACUUACGCUAAUACCGCAUACGACCUACGGGUGAAAGCAGGGGAUCUUCGGACCUUGCGCGAUUGAAUGAGCCGAUGUCGGAUUAGCUAGUUGGCGGGGUAAAGGCCCACCAAGGCGACGAUCCGUAGCUGGUCUGAGAGGAUGAUCAGCCACACUGGAACUGAGACACGGUCCAGACGCCUACGGGAGGGAGCAGUGGGGAAUAUUGGACAGUGGGCGCAAGCCUGAUCCAGCCAUACCGCGUGGGUGAAGAAGGCCUUCGGGUUGUAAAGCCCUUUUGUUGGGAAAGAAAAGCAGCAGGUUAAUACCCCGCUGUUCUGACGGUACCCAAAGAAUAAGCACCGGCUAACUUCGUG